rnacentral:SRP_RNA from 1 species
UGCCGGGCUCCGUGCAAUGAGCAGCCGCGAACCCCGCCAGGACCGGAAGGUAGCAACGGUAGUGGUCCCGCUUGUGUGCCGCGGAUUCCCCGGCGCUU